CGGACGAACCGGCGAACGGGUGCGUAACACGUGAGCAACCUGCCUUUGUGCGGGGGAUAGCCGGGCUAACGCCUGGGUAAUACCGCAUACGGUUCUCGAGGGGAGUCCCUUGGGAAAGAAACCUCCGGGGCACAGAGAGGGGCUCGCGGCCUAUCAGCUAGUUGGUGUGGGUAACGGCCCACCAAGGCGACGACGGGUAGCUGGUCUGAGAGGAUGGCCAGCCACAUUGGGACUGAGAAACGGCCCAG
rnacentral:rRNA from 1 species